rnacentral:rRNA from 1 species
CGAACGAAGCGCUUAAACAGAUUUCUUCGGGUUGAAGUUUUUGCGACUGAGUGGCGGACGGGUGAGUAACGCGUGGGUAACCUGCCUCAUACAGGGGGAUAACAGUUAGAAAUGACUGCUAAUACCGCAUAAGCGCACGGUGCUGCAUGGCACAGUGUGAAAAACUCCGGUGGUAUGAGAUGGACCCGCGUCUGAUUAGCUAGUUGGUGGGGUAACGGCCUACCAAGGCGACGAUCAGUAGCCGGCCUGAGAGGGUGAACGGCCACAUUGGGACUGAGACACGGCCCAAACUCCUACGGGAGGCAGCAGUGGGGAAUAUUGCACAAUGGGGGAAACCCUGAUGCAGCGACGCCGCGUGAGCGAAGAAGUAUUUCGGUAUGUAAAGCUCUAUCAGCAGGGAAGAAAUAGGACGGUACCUGACUAAGAAGCACCGGCUAAAUACGUGCCAGCAGCCGCGGUAAUACGUAUGGUGCAAGCGUUAUCCGGAUUUACUGGGUGUAAAGGGAGCGUAGACGGUUGUGUAAGUCUGAUGUGAAAGCCCGGGGCUCAACCCCGGGACUGCAUUGGAAACUAUGUAACUAGAGUGUCGGAGAGGUAAGCGGAAUUCCUAGUGUAGCGGUGAAAUGCGCAGAUAUUAGGAGGAACACCAGUGGCGAAGGCGGCUUACUGGACGAUCACUGA